rnacentral:rRNA from 1 species
UACGUAGGGUGCAAGCGUUGUCCGGAAUUAUUGGGCGUAAAGAGCUCGUAGGCGGUCUGUCGCGUCUGCUGUGAAAACCUGGGGCUUAACCCCGGGCCUGCAGUGGGUACGGGCAGACUAGAGUGCGGUAGGGGAGACUGGAAUUCCUGGUGUAGCGGUGAAAUGCGCAGAUAUCAGGAGGAACACCGGUGGCGAAGGCGGGGUCUCUGGGCCGUAACUGACGCUGAGGAGCGAAAGCAUGGGGAGCGAACAGG